rnacentral:rRNA from 1 species
UAGCCCCGCCCGCGCGGCGGGCGGGGCGGGGGCACGGGGGGACUCCUACGGGAGGCAGCAGUAGGGAAUCUUCGGCAAUGGACGAAAGUCUGACCGAGCAACGCCGCGUGAGUGAAGAAGGUUUUCGGAUCGUAAAACUCUGUUGUUAGAGAAGAACGACGAGGAGAGUGGAAAGCUCCUCGUGUGACGGUAUCUAACCAGAAAGGGACGGCUAACUACGUGCCAGCAGCCGAAUC